UGAUACAACCCUAUGUAAUUUAUGUUGCAGAACUAUUGCAUUCCCAAAAAGCUUUUUUCACAGAAUUCUCUGAUGCCCGUUUCUAUAGAGUUGAUGUAACCUUUGACUCCAAGACCGCUCAUCCAAGACUGGAAGUGUUUGAAGCUGGAAAAAGUGUGAUAGACACAGGAGAUAUUUCUAAGUUUUCUAACAGUGAGGACAUUCCUCAUCACAUGGGUUUACUGGCAACACAGGGAUAUUCCAAAGGAAAAUAUUACUGGGAAGUAGAUGUUAGCCAGAAAAAUAAAUGGUACUUAGGAGUUGCAUCUGAAUCAAUUUGUAGAAAAGAGACAACCACAUUGUCUCCUCAAAAUGGGUAUUGGGUCAUAGGGCUUGGAGAUAGGAGAGAUUACUAUGCUUGGACAGACCCAUGGACCCUUCUGGAAGUGACUGGAAAACCUACAAGAAUAGGGAUAUUCCUAGAUAUGUCAGCAGACAAAAGACUUUCUUUUUAUGAUGUCCAUAGCAAAAAGAAACUGUACACAUUUUCCAUCAAUUGUUUUGCAAAGCUGUAUCCUUUCUUCUCUCUUGGAGUAAUGUCUGUAAAGGAAUAUAACCAACCAGUCAACAUUGUUGAAUUUCUUUGAAGAAGAAGAGAUGAUGCAAUGAAAAAAGUACAUAGAAGGGAAAACUCCUUUGAAAAAUGCAUUGUUAAUAUAGUUCUCUGAAAUAUAGUAUGAUUCUUUAUGUUUAUUUGGAAAUAAAUUUGGAAAUAAAUCCACCCUGUUCCUCCUUAAUAGUUGUUUCU